rnacentral:misc_RNA from 1 species
GUGAGUCAUCGAAUCUUUGAACGCACAUUGCGCCCACUGGUAUUCCGGUGGGCACGCCUGUCCGAGCGCCAUUACACCCCCCAAGCUUUGCUUGAUGUUGGGCGAUGACGUUGGCACACGCCCCAAACCUCUGGGCGCCUACCGCCGGCCGCUAGCGUAGCAAGUUCUUACUCGCUAGCGUGUCCGUCGUGUCUGGCCGCCCGAAGAAAACCCCCCAUUUUUUCACAUGGUUUGGCCUCGGAUCAGGCGGGGAUACCCGCUGAACUUAAGCAUAUCAAUAAGCGGAGGA